rnacentral:lncRNA from 1 species
GCCUCUUCUUUGGCUCUGAAAGAGGAAGUGGGACGCCUACGGGGAAGCCCACCUAUCGGGGUCAAUCACGUGGUCAGAGGUGAGCAUCUGCCGGGCUCCCUGCCCCCACCCCAAAUGAAGUCCUGGUUGGAGGCUGGAGGGGGUGGUCAGGGGGCUCCCCGGGCUCCCUCUGCAGAAGGCGGUCCUUUCAGUCGACCUGGUUCCCCACCUGCAUGUGGAACAUCUCCUGCAGGGCACCCCCCACCCGCACCCAACACCAGGGGCUCCUAGUCUGAAAGAAGCAGGGAAAAGAAGGCAGCUCUGGGGCGUCUGGGAACAAGGGGUCAGUGUCUCCUUUGUCCUAAUAAGGACGGCACAGAGCAAGUCCAUCCGCAGCUCCCCGUCAGCAUCCCAGGUCCCCAAACCCCAGUCACUCCGGCCUCUCUCGGGCUCUCAUUUUCCACCCGCGGAGCAGGAGAAAGCCUCAAGAAUUCCCUUUCAUUUCACACCAUUAAUAACUAAGCGCAGGGCCUGAAAUAUUUAUGGCCUGAGCGCAGAGCCUGCUCGGGGCAGGACGAGGCAGAUGGCGGCAAUUUGUAAGCCUGCUGGCCGGCCCCUCUCAGAAGGGACACCUAGAUGGCUUUGGUGGCCAGGAGGGGCCAGCGGUGACCCGGGCAGCCUCGAGCUGUGUGCCACCUGGGGUGCCCCGGAACUGAGGCAGGGCCAUGUUUGCAGCUGGCAGGAGCUCCGCCUUCUCUGCGCUUCUGCUCUGUUACACAGCAACGGGGCCACGGAGACCUCACAGCGUAUGGCAAAAUUAAUGCAAGAUGGUUCACAAAUCUCGAUAUAAAAUAUAAAGCUUUUAGACACAAGAGAAAAUUUUCUGGAGUUAGAGAAGAUGUUCUUAGCCAUGAUAACCAAAAGCAUGAUCCAUAUAAAAAAAAAAAAGUGAUAAAUUGGACUUCAUCAAAAUUUAAAAUUUUUGCUCUGCCAAAGAUCUUGUUAAAGAGAAUUCAACGAUGAGCUGCCGACUAGAAUAAAAUAUCUGCACCUGCCCUACAGGUAGCUAAAGGGGGCCGCCGAAAUACAGUUCUAGCCAUUGCAGUAAUAAGUCUGGGCGGUUCUGGCAAAGAUUCCAUCUCUCUGAUAGAAGGGCGAUGUUUGUGAGAAUAUUCUUCCUUUAGGCGUCUUGGCUACCACCCUUCCUCCCUGCCUGUAGUGUGUCAUGCUCAGAGCUGCAGCCACCAUCAUGCAGUCAUCAAGAUCUAAUGAGAGGAGUUCCCAUCGUGGCCCGGUGGUUAAUGAACCCAACCAGUAGCCACGAGGACAUGGGUUCAAUCCCUGGCCUUGCUCAGCGGGUUAAGGAUGCAAUGUUGCCGUGAGCUGUGGUGUACGUUGCAGACGCAGCUCAGAUCCCCCGUCGCUGUGGCUGUGGCGUGGGCUGGCGGCUACAGCUCUGAUUUGACCCCUAGCCUGGGAACUUCCAUAUCCACAGGUGUGCCUCUAAAAAAGACAAAAAUAAAAUAAAAUAAAAUAAAAAUCUAUAUGAGAGUCACAGAGAUUCAGAUUCAACACUCUGACAUGUUUGAGAUGCUGACCCAGCACCAUGGCUGCCUCCUUCCAGACUGUUGUUGUGUGAGAUUAUUUCAAAUGCAUUUGUUACUUAAUCACUAUUACCUGAUCCUCUGUUACUCUGGGGUGCCGGCGUCCUAAGUGAUACAGAAACAGGGCUACUCCUUUCUCUGGCUCCUCCUCACAGGCUAUCCCAGAUAAGAAUUCAGGGUGCACUUCCUCUGUCGGGGGCUCUGGAAACAAGGAGGGGGUGGUACAAUUCACGCCUGGCCCUCCUGUGCCCGGUGGGUGCAGGCCCAUGCAGUCUGUAGGUUUGCAUCUUUGCAACCCCUUGUCCUCAACCCUGGCUAAGCCGAGCAAAAAUAGAGCUUUCUUGGAAAGAUACCAGGGCAGUUCAUACCAUGAAAGGAUGUGCACAGCAAUAAAUUCUUGGCAAACACAGGAGGCAGAGCUCUGGGAACCUCAGCAGUGGGAAUCCACAGACCUUCUCUCUAGGAUGCUGCCAUAAAAUGACUCCUGCUAUCUCCUUCCAUCCAUUUGUGCCUUGGUUCAACUUUCAGGUUCCCAGGAGGGAGGAUCCAAUUGGUAGAGGUUGGUCGGGUACUCACCCUUUGGAAAAUUCAGUAUAGCCAGGAGCUGGGAGGGUUUGUUGGUCAAGCCUCACUUACUACCUGUUGCCAUCACCAGGGAUGGGCCUCAAGACCCCAAGGAGUGGGGUCUGCCUUUAGGAGAGCUUGGAGGGAGAGCUGCCAGCAAAGAAAAGCCAGAGCUGCAGUAGCAUCGCCCUUCUUGAAGCAAUGGUCAUGGCUGUGACUCUGGGACUGCUUGACUGAAUCCUCAUUAGCCCAUGUAAGAACCUGGACCCAACAGGCUGGACCUGGUCCUGAUCUCUCAUCCCUGCUCCAAAUGGAGGCAACUCAUUGACAGCAGAUGGGCCUGCAAUGGGAAAGCCAUCGGGGGUUUCAGCAGAGGACCGCAUGUUCCCAUCUCACUAUGAACUCACCCUGGCUUUCGGCCGGAAUGAAUAGCGAAGAGGAUGUCCAGAGAGACCAGCUGGGAGACGGACACAGGGACCGGAGGAAGAGGAAGGUGAUAGUGAGUAUGGAGAGAGGGAGGUGUUUCCAUUUUCUUUUCUUUUUUUAUUUUUAGGGCCGAACCUGUGGCAUAAUGGAGGUUCCCAGGCUAGGGGUCAAAUCAAAGCUACAACUGCCAGCCUACACCACAGCCACAGCAACAUGGGAUCCAAGCCACAUCUGCCACCUACACCACAGCUCACGGCAACGCGGGAUCCUUAACCCACUGAGCAAGGCCAGGGAUCGAACCCGCAUCCUCAUGGAUCCUAGUCUGGUUCUUAACCUGCUGAGCCACAAUGGGAACUCCCUUCUUGUUUCCAUUUUUGGUGGAUGGUUAGGGUGAAGAAGAGAGAGGAACCCGAGUUCUGGUCUGAGCACCGGGGUGGAUGUUGCCAUCCAUGGAGAAGAGUAAGCAGGAGACAGAGGGAGUGAGUUCAGGGGACUGCUAAGUUCUCCACACGUAGUGGAUUUAGGUGACAAGCAGGAAGCCCAGAGCUCUGGGUCCAGCCCAGAAAUGUCUAUUUGGGAGCCAAGAGUCUAUAAAUGAUAGACCCAGUAAAAGGAUGUGAUCGCUGGGGAGAGAGGUGAGAACAGAGAGGAGGACGGCGCCCAGCCUGAGCAUGGAGGGCCCCUGUUCCUGCAGGAGGAGCUGUCCGCCAGGUCUGAGAAGGAGCCUCGGGGAGGGGGAAGGGAGCAAGAGAGUGUGUGGUCCUGGAAGCCAAGCCGGGAGGAAGCACCUUCAGUUGGGCUGUGAUUUCCAGGUCCUUGAGGGAGCUGAUGCUAUGCUUCUCUAUACAUCAGCCCCUUCUGGUGAACAACCCCCGAACUCGCGCCUCCUCCUGGCCUCUUCCCAUCCACCCAGCGUCUCAGGGGGAAGGGGAUAAAACCUCGGAAGGCCACCGAAGAAAGAGCUCCCUCCCCCACCUCCCCAGCCUACGCCUACCCUAUUCACUCCGCUGCAAGGAUUCAUUAUAAUUUUUUAGCCACGGAGCAAAGGAAGAGGCGUUAAGCCUGGACUGUUGAGCUGGUUUUGCAAUUACUUUCCCUAUUCUAGCUCCCCUCUGUUCACCCCCACGCUUCUGGGAAAUGCAACUUGUAGAUCCCAGGGCACCUCAGGCGCUCCGGAGCGCACUGAGCAAGCGCAGGACACGUGCACCCCUGGCCGGCCGGCGGAGCUGCCCUCAGGAGGGAAGGUCCAGAUGGUCUUUGGCUCAAGGAGCGCGCUGAUCUCAGCAGCCGAACUGCUUGGGGGCAUUUCACAGGAAAUUGGGGCCAAGGACUAGCAUUUUGUCUUGGCUGCCCCUCAGAGCUGCUCUGGUAGCUUCAUUUAAAAGUGGAAGAUAAAGUGCUUGAGCGUUGGAGAAACCAAGACGAGGGAGCAUAUUUCUUUUCUGUUUAUGACAUCUCGCAGCUGAGCUCCACCUCCGCAGGAUGGAGAGCCCAUGGCCUUGGGAAGGAGAAGGAACUUUGGGGGAAAAAAAAACAGCUGUCGGGAGUCCUAGACCUUCUCACGGGAACAGAGGGAAGGGGACAGACCGGGGCCAGCGCCGCGGAUGACCCGCCCUCACGGAGUUGGUAGAAGGAAGCCCUCGUGGUGGCCAGGCCCCUCUGCAGAGGCCCUCAGCCAUCCUGCGGUAGAAAACUGUCAGCAGAGGUUGACGCUCCAGCAGCGCUUUCUCCACCCUUGUCAGCCCAGCCACACGCGGGAAGCACAAGUGCCCAGGAUCUGGGGACGCAAAACUGCACGUCCCACCUUCUCAUGAGCUAGAGGCCUGGAGAAGGUCAGAGUCUCUUCCUGGGGCACAGAGGAAGGUAAAGGCUGAUGCCGGAGUGCAUGUCAGGGUUUGGAGGCCUGGGUCCCCCUGGCUCUCAGGGCUGACGCAUAAGGCAGGCGAAAGUCAAUGCCACCAAACAGCAGCUCUCUGCAUAGCCCCACUUCUCUCUUCACCUCAGAUGUGCCUGACUGAUGCACCAAAUCCCUUAAGCCCAAAUGCAAGCAGACAAAAGAGCCGGAGCCCUUGCAAGAACAGACCCUGUGUGCCGGAGGAGGAGAGGCAGCCUGGGUGCCAUGGCCCCUACAAGGGCCAGAGCCCCUCGGUCACUUGGUGCCAUUAUAGAAGAGCAGGUGUCCUGCUUCAUCUCUGUGAAGCGGGAGGUAUAAGAAAUAAUGAUAUUUAUUUUAAAGAAAAUUCUGUACAUCAGUUUGCUUUCAGAAAAAAAUAACUUCGAUUAAAGCAGAACACCUUUGUCAAAAAGGAAAUAUUGUUCGUCUUGCGGCUUUUCUACAGUGCAUAAUAGGCAUUGUACGUUCACUCAUUCAUUCAUCAAACACCUUUGGGCCCAGACCACGUGACAGGUGAGAGGGAUACAGAAGUAAAUGUGUCUUCUGCCACUGCCGAUGGGGGAGGGGACUAGCACAAUGUGAAUUAGAGAGUGGAGGUUGGCUCUGGCAAUUCUGAUUGCAAGAAACGCACUGAAAAUAUAAAGACACAGAAUAAAAUCCAAAA